rnacentral:rRNA from 1 species
UACGAAGGGGGCUAGCGUUGUUCGGAAUUACUGGGCGUAAAGCGCGCGCAGGCGGCUAUCCAAGUCAGUGGUGAAAGCCCGGAGCUCAACUCCGGAACUGCCAUUGAAACUGUUUAGCUUGAGGAUGAGAGAGGUGAGUGGAAUUCCCAGUGUAGAGGUGAAAUGCGCAGAUAUCGAGAAGAACACCCGUGGCGAAGGCGGCUCUCUGGGACGGUACUGACGCUGAGACGCGAAAGCGUGGGGAGCGAACAGG